GCGACAGAGCAAGACUCUGUCUCAAAAAAACAACAACAAGGCCAAAUGUCACCCCAUGAUCUUAACAAGGGAACAGUCAGAAUCCAAAUCCUAAGCACACAAAGCUACUUUCUUAAGGGCAAUGGGAGAGGGAAAUUGUGAUGGCCCCAAGCUAGAACCUAAAUUACACCUUUACUUUAGAACUGAGUAUAGAAGGAUACAUAUCCUAGGGCACAGAUGGGACACCUCUGUCGAUGCUAGAAGAAUUCUAUGUGUGUUUGGAGGUGGCAUAGCAUACCUGUUAGAAAGGCUUUGCUAUUUACUACUGUGGGACCACAAGCAAGUUAUCUCUUUUCUGAACCUCAGUUUCCUCAACUAUAAAAAAGAGAUACGGAUGCUUAGCUAAUAUUGCUGGAAUUGAAUGCAGAAAUGAAAGAAAGCUUUUAGCACAGGGCUUUACCCUAACAGGCACUUACUGUUAAGAGUGGUUUAUUACCAGGUAGGUAACUAAGCAAGGAAGAUGUGUGUUAAUCAAUUUGGCAUGAGAUUUAAAAUUUUAUUACCCAACACAUUAUUUUCACUAAAGUAUCCUUGGUUAAAACUCAGUUAAUACUAGCAUUUAAUAAGAUAACUCAAAUUUCUCCAAAAAAAUGGACAAAUUGGAUGUCUUCAAUUCACUUGACUUACAAAAUGGUUUUAAUAUGAGAAUUGUCUAGUCAUAAGUUGUCACUCAAGAACAAAAAUUAUCUGUUCUGGCACUAACUGGCAUGUGAUUCUGGUGAGGCACAUCAUGACUCUGGGUCUCCUCUACAAGGAGGGGGUUGUGGGAGUGCCCUGGUUCCUUCCAUCUUGAACAUUCGUGAUUCCAAAGUAGCACUCCAGCAUAGCCCUGAUUUACUUCUAGUUCCUUUCCUUUUCAGGACAUUGACAUAAAGUAGAACUUGCUUCCAAUACGUCUUAAAGGUUAAAUGUUACACACAGCGUACAGUCAAUGCAAGGAGGCCUGCACACAGGGAACUUCUGUCUAGGACUGCGGCCGGUAAGACCUUCCUGUGUGGACCACAGCACUGCUCAGGAAAGCUGCCUGCAGGAGCUGUGAAGUUGCAGAAUUUUGGUUUAUUGGGAUGCAUCCUGGUGCUUGCCUACAGAUCUUGUUUUGCAAAGUGCAGAGGCAAUACAUGGAGAUGCAGCAGCCAUCUUGUGACCAUGAGGACAAAGAUCAUUUACCAAGGAUGACAGAAGAGAAAGUUAGCAAGAGCCUUGACCCCUGAUGAGGUGAAGUCAUUUCACCAGCCUAUCACAGCUUCUAGUCUUCUUGGGAAUAUGUUGCAAAUUCAUCCCACCUCCUGCUGCAGCUAUGAUACUCAGAGAAAGGAACACCUGCUGUCUGCCAGGCACUGUGGGGAAGGGCAGAGUAAAGCCAUGCCUGAGAACCUGGAGUCCGGUGAUGAUGUUUACAGAAUUGCCCAGGGAGCUAUAGUUUGCAGACCUCUGACACGUCUCAAGUUUGACUAAGUAGUCGAAGACGCUAAACUGGCAGCACCCAUCCAAGUGAACAGAUUUGCCUUUGACGGCCCAGUGAGCUACUCUUUAAGAUGAGAACAACAAUAUUUUAUCCUGUCAUGGAAGGCAGGGGACUGGACUAGUUAAUUUCUUGUACCCAUCAGUUCUGGGAUCAUAAAAUCCUAUGAAUUAGAGAAAACCAACUGUAUGCUGGUGCCAGACUCUUGAACAUGAAGCAAGUAUGCAACAGACCAAUGUUUCAGCAUGUGCCUGCCCACAUGACAAACUGUUGUUUAUAGAGCACCAACUAUGCACACAAUAAUGAUGAUGACAAGUCAUUUUUGAGUGUUUACUCCUCACAACAGCCCCAUGAACUAGUUUGUAUCAUUAUCCCCACUUAAAAAAUAUAGAAACGGAGGCACAGGGAAGCCAAGUCAUUUGUCCACAGCACAAAAUCAAUAAGCAGCAGAGAUGACUUUGAACAGAGACCAUCUGUUGAAACUGACUGCAAAGAGGCACAGGGAAUUUUGAGGGGUGAUGGAAAUGUUUUUUUAUUAUAAAAUUAAAUGUCAAAGGUGGAGAACUGUUUCCCAGAGAGCAGUUUCGAAACUAUUUGUAGCUAAGUUUAAUUUGUUAUAUUUUAUUUUUAUUAUAAAUUUUU
rnacentral:lncRNA from 1 species